rnacentral:rRNA from 1 species
GGGUUGUGAGGUUAAGCGACUAAGCGUACACGGUGGAUGCCCUGGCAGUCAGAGGCGAUGAAGGACGUGCUAAUCUGCGAUAAGCGCCGGUAAGGUGAUAUGAACCGUUAUAACCGGCGAUUUCCGAAUGGGGAAACCCAGUGUGACUCGUCACACUAUCAUUAACUGAAUCCAUAGGUUAAUGAGGCGAACCGGGGGAACUGAAACAUCUAAGUACCCCGAGGAAAAGAAAUCAACCGAGAUUCCCCCAGUAGCGGCGAGCGAACGGGGAUGAGCCCAGAGCCUGAAUCAGCAAGUGAGUAAGAGGAAGCGUCUGGAAAGGCGCGCGAUACAGAGUGACAGCCCCGUACAAAAAAGC